AGACCUCGAAUAUUCUCUGCAGACACAUGUGGUUCCUCAGCUCCUGGGGGACCCUGGGACUUCGGAGCAGAUCCCUGAGGUCCCAUCCAUAGGUGAUUCUGGUGGAAGUGUGGCUCAGAAAAAGGAAUGAGCGAAUGGACAGCUACUAGACAUCUGAGCACAGGAGGCUGGCUGCAAAGAAGAAAUUCAAGAACAAAUGCAGAAGAGCCCCUCGUCAGUUUAGUUCAGGAGUCCCUACCCAGGAAUUGGUGCUGUCUACAAUGGGCUGUCUCCUCCCACAUUUAUCAACAUUUAAGACAACUCACCAUAGACCAGCCUGAUCUAGAUAAUUCUUCAACUGAAACUCUUCCCUCAGCAGAAGUAUGGCAGAUACACUCUACAGUCAAUGAGAUUUCACAUCAGAAGAAAAAUCUGCAAAGACAGAACUCUGUAAUCAUUUCAGGACAUUGUCCUGAUGCCCCAUGUUUACUCCUAGAUGCAUGAUAAAUGACUGGUUAUGACUUGUGGUAUGAGAUCUAUUGUUUGUCAUCUGCAGUCCCCUAUUCAUGGAGACUCCAUCUUUUCCCAGUCAAAGUGGCUGUUAUCAAGGAAAUAGGCAACAAAUAGGGAGGGUGUAUGUAUGUUAUGAUGGCCUACAGAGCACUUCAGCAAUGCAGUCAUUUCCACAGCUAAUCUGUGAACACAGGGAUUCUCUCAACUGACUACUGUCUCCUGUAAUUUCUUCAGUGUUUUAAAGCCUUUGUUGAGGAAGCUUUCACCUCUUUGAUUGGGUUUUAUCUCCAGUUUCUUUUUUAUAAGCUUGUAAGCAUGACACUCGCCACCCCACAACACAUAACAUAAUUUCACCCUCAGUAAGUUUGUUAGUAAAGUGUAGAAAAGCUCAAGGAUGGGUCUAGCUUUGCAGAGACUUGAAGUGCCAUGGUGGGGGUAUCCAGGCAGGUCCUUACCUACUCAGAGGAGAAGGUAGGAACACAGGAAGGAUUAUGCAAGGGAGUGACCUGGAAGGGGCCUGUGAGCAGACUUUAAAUAAGUAAUAAACAAAUAAAUUAAUAAAUAAUAUUAAAAAUGUAGAAAAACUACCUUUUUUGCUUGUUUGUUUAUAUUUUGGACAAAGACUUACUCUGUAGCCCAGGCUGGUCUGGAAGUCGCUCUGUACUCUAGGCUGGCCUCAAACCUCACUAUGAUCAGUCUGCCUCAGACUCUCAAGUGCUUCAAUUACACAUGUGAGUCACCAUACCUACCUUGAGAGCCUCUUCAUUCAUGUGUGCUGAUUUUAAUCCUAUUACUUUCCUGAAAGCCUUUAACAGCUCUUAAUGUUUUCUGCUGAGGCUUUUGGGGUCUUUUAAUACAGGAUCAUAUUGCCUGCACAUGGGGAUAGGCUGACCUCUUCCUUUCCUAUUUGUAACCCCCUUCGCACCCCCUCGUGUUAUAGCUCUUAGAUUUCAAGCAUUAUAUUGAAAAGUGCAGAGAGGGUGGGCCCCUUUGUCUCACUCCCAAUUUUAAAUGGAAUGCUUUUAGGUUUUCUCCCUUCUGUAUGAUGCUGUCUAUAGAUUUAUCAUUCUGCCUUUAUUAUGUUGAGGCAUUCUCCCUCUUCUACUUUCUUUGGGGCUUUUAUAGUAAAAUGUAUUGAACUCUGUCAAAUGCAUUUUCUGCAUGAUCCUUUUGGUUUGAGAUGCCACGUGAUUUCUAUCUCAAGUCUGUGUGCUAUAUUACAUAUAUUGAUUUGUGAUAUUGAGCUGUUCUUACACCCAUGGAAUGAAAACAACUUCGCCGCAGGGUAUGACCUUCUUAGUGUGUUGCUAGUAAUCUAUUGAGAAUUAUUGCAUUUAUGGUCGAGAUAGGAGUUGGCUGAUUAGUUUUGUGUUUUUAUUGUAGUCUUACCUAGUUUUGAUACCAGAGUAGUACAGUCCUCCAAGAAUGAGUUUGACAGUGCUGUUGUUGUUGUUGUUUUGUUUUAAUGAAAUCAUAUGGAAACUGUGGUUUUUUCAGUCUGGUAGGAUUCUGUGGUAAGCCUCCUUAGUCCUGGGCUUUUCCAUAUUGGGAAUCCCUUUGUGACUGCUUCAAUACCAUUGUUUGUUUGUUCUAGAUCUCUUUAAGUUGCUUAUAUCCUCUUGAUUUAAUUUCGCUACGUCAGAUGUGUCUACAAACCUAUCAUUCCAUCCUUUCAGAAAUACAUUUUCAAAGUAUUCCCCUAGGAGCCUCUGGAUUUUGCUGGCAUCUAUUUUAGUGUUACCACUGUAUUCUACUUUUAUUAAUUUUAGUCUUUCUUCACAUUGGAUGAGGGCUUGUCAAAC
rnacentral:lncRNA from 1 species